rnacentral:lncRNA from 1 species
CAAGAAUUCUUUGAAAGGGAUGUAUCUUCUGAAACUCUUCCAUCAACGACACCGUUUACUUUUUCAACAGUAUCAUCGUCUAAGAGUUUCUCUUGGUUGCUACUGCUUUGUUGAGACCGCUUCUUCUCGCUGUUCAUCCUCUGGAGGUUCCAUUCCAGUUUUUUCAGAUAUCCGAUCUUGAAAGAGUCUCUUAUUCUCAUUGAGGGCCAUAGAUGCAUAUCUCUCUUGGAUUGCGAAGUGUUUUCUUUCAGAAUUUUUAUGUAGUUGCUUUAGCUGGAGUGUUUAAUUUGUCUGUCAACUAUAUUUCUCGCAAGAAAGACCCAAAACGAAAUUUACGAAACCAAGGGUGGAUAACCUCAACGACAACGUGUCAGUGAUUGGAAAAAUUGGCCCGUAAAUGAUAUUUGAUGUAAUAAUAGAAAACUAAAAUUACAAAGUCACACCUUAUUGAUUACUUUUUUUUUUUUUUUUUAAAGGAAUUUUUAUUUUUUUAUUAGAGUGAAGAUUUUUUCUAUAUAGAAAAAGAAAACCAAACUUUUAUAUUUAUAAAGGUGUCAGCGCUUCUUUUUAAUUCUCAAUUAAUAUGGAGAAUUAAAAAUUAAGUAAUUAAUCCGUGAAAUCACACAAAUAUUUCAAUAUCAUUAUUAAAUUGACAUGAUAACUACACGAAUAAUUAAAUUUAGAAAAAAAAAACAACUAAUUAGCUAUCUUUGUACUUGCAAAAUUGUUUAUUGGGCUACAGCAUAGAACUUGUAAGCCCAAAACGUGGCCCACGAAAAGUGAGAAUUAUAAUGGAGAAGAAAAUGAACUGUAGCUUCGCAAAACACGCAAUUAGAUGAAGUUAGAGACAGCUGUCGCACAUCCAAAGAGGAGCGAGCAAUGGAUCACUGACCCUUCUUUAAGACACGUUAAAAGUACAGGGCCCACGUGUAGCGUCAUAUCAAGUUGACUUAAACAACCAACUCGUUAGAAUUGAACGAAUCCCACAUUGCUUAAAUAUUUCAGAAAGGAAACAUUUAUAAGUUCAAGUGUGAGAUGCUGCAACUGUCCCUUCGGGGACAUCCGAUAAAAUUGGAACGAUACAGAGAAGAUUAGCAUGGCCCCUGCGCAAGGAUGACACGCAUAAAUCGAGAAAUGGUCCAAAUUUUUUCUUUCUUGCAGCUAUUUUACAUUCUUCCUUAAUUUCGAAUGAAAAUUAUCAAUUUCGUCCUGUAUUUGUUUUCUUGUGCCCAUUAUUAUUUAUUACUUCCGUGGAACUGCAUAUUUUUUUUUAUUAAAAUUAUAAUACUAAUUAUUUAAUAUAUAAAAUUUUAAGUAAACUCUGUAUUUGUUUUCUUGCAGACAUUAUUACUUCUAUGGAGCUACAUAUUUUUCUUAUUAAAAUUAUUAUAUUUAAUAACUUAAGUAUAUAAAAAUUUUAAAGUAAAUAAGUUAACUUUUUAUAUGAUUAUAAAUUAUUAGCAAAACUAAUAAAUAGUUAUUAUAUAUUUGGAUUCAUGCUAGAAAAAUUAUAGUAUUAUAAGCCAAAAAUAAUAAUAAAAUAAUAUAUAUAAAUCAUAAUAUUCUUAUGCUUUUUAUUUUCUUUAAAUAAUAAGUUAAAAUAAAAAAAAAAAUAAUUCAAGUCAUAUUGUAAGGAGUAAAAUUUGUCCUUAAUAACAAUUUAAUGUCUCAACUGCAAUUAUUUGUAAAAUGUUACUAAACAUAUAAUAUAUAUAUAUAUAUANNNNNNNNNNNNNNNNNNNNNNNNNNNNNNNNNNNNNNNNNNNNNNNNNNNNNNNNNNNNNNNNNNNNNNNNNNNNNNNNNNNNNNNNNNNNNNNNNNNNNNNNNNNNNNNNNNNNNNNNNNNNNNNNNNNNNNNNNNNNNNNNNNNNNNNNNNNNNNNNNNNNNNNNNNNNNNNNNNNNNNNNNNNNNNNNNNNNNNNNNNNNNNUUUAUUCAAAUCCCGAUAAUCCACACACAUAUAUAUAUAUAUAUAUAUAUAUAUAUAUAUAUAUAUAUAUAUAUAUAAAGAUGAUGACAGAAUGCAAACAAAAAUGGAAUAUAAAAAUUAAAUUAUUCAAAAAUAGUGAUCUAAACAAAGCCGUUCGUAUAACAAGAUUUGCUCAUUGUAACUUCAAUAAACAAAGAGAAGAUAUAAACAAGAGAAAAAGAAAAAAGCACCAAUAGAUUGUUCCCAAGUGAAAAGGCUUACAAUUAGCAGAGAUGAUCAUUGGAAGCUCAGAAAAUCCAUGAGAGCAAAACCAUAUCUUAAUGAAGGUUCUUGAUAAGUUAAAGAAUGGAAUGCUAAGAAUUGAGGGUUGGUGAGAAGAUCAAAAGAAGAGAGUAGGAAGAAGAAGAGGGUGGUGAUAGGAGCCAUAUAUAUAUUUAUAGGGUUUUAGUAGUAUAUAUAAAGUUGAAGUUGUUGUUGCCUUUCUAUAAUCUACCUAGUUCAACAACUGAGAGAAUGUAGUAUAAGCUUUUUAGUUAUAUAUAUAUAUAUAUAUAUAUAUAUAUUCUCAAAAAUAAAAUAAGUGGUUGUUUCCAUUGAUAGAAUAUAAAAUCUAUAGAAUUUCGCAUUUGGUUAGCAUAAAAAGUAUAAAAUCUAUGGAUUUGAAGGAUACUUUUGGAAAGAAAUUAAAUAAUUUAAAUUCUAUCAUUCAUAAAAUAUAAAAUUUGUUAAUUUGAUGUAUGGUGAUCUUUUUCUCAACUAAACAAUUAUAUAAUUAAAAGGAAUUUCAUAAAUUCGUAAAAUGUUUGAAUUUCAUCAUUGAAAUUUCACUAAUAAUUAAAAAAUUGGUGUGUUGCUUUAGUUCUUGAUAAUUAACUCUUGCAAGGGAAGUAAUCCAUGAAAUAAUAGAAGCAAGUAGUUUGUCCUCCUUUUCUACUUUUGCUUUUGUUUUUUUUUUUUAGGGAAUAAUCUUUCUGAUAUUUGAUUAGAAUAGAAGACAGAGAUUAAGAGUGGUCCACGUGACAUGAUAUCUAGAAAUGCUUGCUUCCAAGCAACAACUUAUAUAUAUAACACAUUAAACCUAUUGAACCUUUGUCAAUCCGAAAAUUACAUAUUUAGCCUUCAAUCCUAUUAAAUUCACCAACUUACCUCAUUUGGUAUUUAUUUAUUAUUAUUUUUUUUUUUUGUCUUUCAGACACAUAGGGUGGCCAAAAUCCGGUUUUCGGAACCAGAACCAUCGGUUCCGAACCGGUGGGAACCGGAACCGGUCUGAACCGAAACUGAAACCAGUCCAAACCGGUUUGGUUCCGGUUCCACCAGUUUUGGAACCGUGAACCAGCGGUUUCAACUUCAGUCGGAACCGACAGUUCUAGUUCCAUCUAAAACCGGCCGGAACCGUCGGAAAAUCGGUCGAAGAAUCCGCCUGAACCGUCGAUUUUGGAACCAUUGAGGAAUCAAAACCGAAACCGAAACCGUUCGGUUCCAAACCGUAACUGAAACCGUUAAUUUUCAGUUCGGUUCCAGAACCGUGGCCACCCCUACAAACACGUAUGCAUAGGUAUCCUUUUCAAUUAGGAUAAUUACAAUUUUAGUUUAUAAGAUUUACAAAAGUUUUUAUUUGAUGUAUGAACGUAAAAAGUUAAUAAUCUGAUAAAUAAAUUCUUUUUUUUUUAAUAAUUAAACGUAUUUUGUACAUGUAAAUAAUCCAAAAUCCCUGUGGGAUGGUUGGGUUUCACUUGUUCAUAUGCUUUUUGCUUCUUAGGCACUAAAUAAGAUCCUACGUGGAGUGCCACAAGGACUAAAAAUUCAAAGGGGUUGAGAUGACCUCAAUACCAUCCUCUAUCCUCUCCCUUUGUGCAAUUCAGAGCUCGAAAAUGGUAUUGCUCACUUUCCUUCAUCGGAGACACUGUCAUUGCCAUUGUACAGGUUGGCCAGAAUCUCAAAACUUCAGCAAAAUGAGAAAAUAACAUAUCAAAAUGUUUGUUAUAAUGCAAGGAUCAUAAAUGUUGUAUUAAUUUUCACAUAUAUUGAACCAUUUCGCUAGAAUCGACCAAAGAACAUUCAGUCAUUCACCCAUUUUGGGUAUUUUUGAUUCCAACUAUGCAACUAGAAAUUAAUAAACUUAAAUCUUAGAUUAGGUGAAGGUGAGUCAAAUUAUACCUAUAUCGAGCUCUGAUUUAGUUAGAAGACAACGAUCUUAGCUGGAAAAAGCAAAGAGGAAAACUAUAGGACCUUUGAAGUUUCAAUCUGCUCUCCAGGUGCAUCGAUCAACCAAAAGAAGGCUAGAUAGCAACUCAGCGAUGAGGGAAGAGCGAUUUGAUAUUAAGCUUACCCACUAGAACUCGCUGGAGGCCGGAAAAGCCAAAUCCUAAAGACAACCCAUUAACUCCUUUCUCUCAUCUCCGUUGUCAUCACAAUUGUCCUUGUCAUCCUAUCAAUAUGAGAACCCUUUUGUCUCCUUAACCUUUUCUCAUCGUUCCUAACCCUGAAUCCACCCCUCUAUCUCCUCUUUUUCCAUUCAUUAAGUCGAUAUUGUUAUCUUUCUUUCUCUGAAAAAUAAAUUUCUCCUCAUCUCUAUCAAAUCACUUGCUUACCCGUGAAUUCAUAGAAAAUAAAUCAACUUGGCCUUGAGGUCUCCUCCUAUCUAGCCAUCCAAACUCAUCCAAGAUAUCAUUCAUUCUUCUCUUCAUUGAAAAGCCCUCUCCAUUUCUAUCUCUUUUCCUACCUUUUUCUUUAUUUCUACCUUAGUCUCUAUUCCCAUCAUCCAUGUCACUGUCACUCACUGUCCGUGACUCGCUAACUCGGUCACAGAGUUUGAAAUUUUUUUCUUUUAAUUUGUUUAUUCUCAACCGGGGAGAGACAGAGAUUUUAAUCCGCGUCGAAUCUUAUUUCACGCUUAAGAAGUAAAAAAUCUAUGAAUAAGUGGGACCCAGAUAUCAUAAAGAGAUUUCAACUGUCCAAUGUGCAAAAUAUACGCAAUUGUUACAAAAUGAAGAGUCUAUUUAUCAAAUUGUUAAUUUUUUUUCUACUCAUACACCAAAAUAGAAAGUUUUGCAAAAUUUAUACACCAAAAUUGCAAUUAUCCCUUUUCAAUUCAAGUCAGUAAUUAAACUAACCGACUUUUAUAAUUGGAACCUGCAAUUCUCAUUUAUCUUUAUCAAAUUAUUCUUUACAAAUUCCUAGUGUCAUUGGAAUCGGACUAGACCGGCCAGUCAAAUCGGUUAAAAUGGAAACCAGCCCGUUGUCUGGUUCGGAAGUUGGCUCGAUUUUUAGAAAAAUCAAAUUUUUUGAAAAACCGAAUUGGAUGAUUGAUAAAAAUCGGAUUUUUUAUAAAAAUAUGUUGUUAUUUAAGUAAAGGUGGUCUUAUUUUUUUAUAUGUAUUUGGUAUGAUUUGUGUGUUUGAUGAACUUAAAUUUGAGUUUUCAACCUAAAUUGAACUGUGCGAUUUGAAUUUUUAAGUAUUUAAUUAUUAUAUGAUUUAAAAUUUUGAUAAUUAUUAGUUCAAAUUUUUCUAUAUUUAUAUAUAUAUAUUAUUUUAUUAUACAAGAUCAAUAUUUGACGAGAAUGAUAUAUUAUAUAUAUUUAUUAUUGUGAAAAUAAUUUUGUUGCGCUUAAACAAUGUAUAUAUCUACUUAUAUAAAAUAUUAAAAAUUCAAAAAUUAGACCGAAUACAUAAAUUGCCCAUUUAACUUUUAUUAAAAAGUCUUCUAGCACCCUUUACUUUCAAAGUGACCUUGUAGCCCUCUACAUUAUAUUUUUUGUAAUCUAUACACAUCUGAACAGAGUAAAAAGUAUUGGGUAAAUCACACAUAUGAUGACGUGGAUUAAUAGUAAUUCAAAUGGCAAUUAUAUUUCCAUGCUCGAUGCCAUCUUACCUCGUUCGAUUCAACAUCCCUUCUUUCUCAGUUUCUUUUUCCUAAAACUUUCUAAGUAUGCCUACAACUCUAUUUUCAAAAUUUCUAAUCUUGCUCAUUGUCGAUUUUAUUUUUAUUUUGUCUUUUUUCAUUAUCGUUCAAUCGAUAGUCUCUAAGAAGAAGCAAAACUUCAAGGGGACAUUGUGGAUUUACGAAUCCUUCGUUUUUUAUUCAUCGUAAGUCUAACCAAAAAAAGAAAAGAAGUUGACUUCGGUAGAAAUUAUUGAUGGCAAUUUGAAUUAAGGAGACAGAUAUAGAGCGGACUGCUUGCUUGGAUUUGUACAAAGAGCUUUUUUAUAGCAUGUUUGAUUUCAUCUCUUCAAUUGCGAUUAACAACUAUUACUGUUUUGUUUUUGCCAUUUUCCAUUUUUAAUAUUUUUUUCUCAAAAAUUAACUCUGGUAUCUUUAAUAUCGACAAUUACUUUUGAAGGUGGACUUUGAGUAGCUUACCUCACGAAGCCCAAACCUCGUCCACUUCAUAUGCUGUACAUAGCUCAAUUAACCUAACCUCUUUUCUUUUGACCAACUUUGAUGACAUGGCACAUAAAUUUUUGACCAACUUUGAUGAUAUGACAUAUAAAGUGACAUGUAUGACAUUUUCAAGUCACUUAACACGCUUCAUCGCGCAUGUAUUUCAGAUUUUUUUUUAGAUGUGUAUAGAUUAUAAAAAAUAAAAUCCAAUAGUCAAUAAGGUCAUUCUAAAUUUUAUGUACUAAAUCAGACUUUUUUUUAUAAAAGUUUAGGGGGGCAAUAUAAUAUUAUGCAAAAAAAAAAAAUAGAAAAUCCAGUUGAACUGGUUCAACCCAGUCCAACCUUGAUCCAGUCAGGGCAAUUUUCUUUUUCUUUUCCUAACAUUUUUUCGUUAGCCUAAAAAGUCAAACGCUAAGCACUUCUCUAUCCUCCACCUUCUCGUAUGAAUAGAGUUCAGGGUCAUCAUUUCACGAUUUUUGAAAUUGAAGAAAUCGUGAAUUUGGAACCGGUGGAAAUUGGAACCGGAAUCAAAACUAUAAGGAAUCGAAAUCGCGUAAAAUCGGAAUUAGAAGUGAGGUCUGCCGUCUGAUUUCGGUUUUAACUUUUAAGACACUGUGAAUCAAUAGUUCUAUAACUGCUCGAAACUGGCUGGAAUGAGCUUUUUUUUGAACCGGUUAGAAUCGACAGUUCCACCUGAUUCCAACAAAUUUUUUUUUAUUUUUUCAAAUAUUUUUGUAAAAUUUUUUAAUUAACCAUCCUAACAAUUAUAUAACGGUUAAUUUUAAGAGUAUUUGUGGAAAGUUAAUUUUUGAAUUUACUAUAAAUACCUGUUUUCGUUCUGAAAAAAAUUAAGUUCAAGGCUUUUUCUAAAAAAAAAAGUUCAAGCCUUUUUUUAAAACAAAUAAAUUAAAGUUAAGCUUUUUAUUAGUUUUUUUCUUAAAGUUUUUUCUAAAAAUUAUUUUUCAUAAAUAUUUAAAUUUUAAAUUUUUUUUAAAUAUUCUCUAAUUUUUUAUGGCGAACCUAAAUAGAGUUAUUUUUAUAUAAUUCCCUCACCAAUCUUUGGCACGUUCAGAAUUUUAUCAAUUUGCAUAGGUUGGUCAAAUUAAUGAACCAGCCCCACCGACCAUAAAAAUAAGUAAUAAUGGGUAUAGUUGAGAAUAUUUUAUUAUUAUUAUUAUUAUUAUUAUUAUUAAAGACUUUUGGUUUGUAGUUGGUAUCACUUCUUUAUAUAUUGUGGUCUGACUUUAUACGUGAUAAACUUUUCCAUUUAAUUUCCAUAAAUUCAAAUGCUGCUCAAUUCAAAACUUAAGAGGUUGAAGAAGAAGAAGAAUUUGAAGGAGCCUAAUUAAACUUCCAAAAGUAAGGUUUUUUUUUUUUUUUUUUUUUUUAAAUUUCUUUUCAAGGUUAUUAUUUCUUUCAAAUUGAUUGCAUUUGGAAUAAUUCAUUGUUUGUCAUUUUCUAUACUGUCUUGACAGAUUAUCCAUGGCAGCAAAUUAUAUAGUUCCUGAAUUUUUAGCUGACAAUAAUUAUCAAAACUGGAGUGCUUGCAUUAGGAACUAUUUGUUAGCGAACGAUCUGUGGGAUGUUAUUGAAGAAACCAAUGAACCUCCAAGUCGAGAAGAGGCUGAAGCUGAAUUUAAAGCUUGGAGGAAAAAGAAUGCAGCUGCUUUACAUGCCAUUCAAAUUUCUUGCACGUUCGAAAAACUUUCUCAGAUCGGAGAAACCGACUCUGCUAAAGUUUGUUGGGAGACUUUGGCAAAAAUGCACGAGAAAAAGGAAUCAGUAAAUCAAGAUCCUGCAGGUAAUUGAAUUCUUAUAUAUAUACAUACAUAUAGUUAAAACAUGUCUAUAACGUAAAUUAUGAUAACUAUAUAUAUCUUAAAGAAGGCUUGUAUUUUUUAUUCAAUAAAAUUUGGGGCUUUUACUAAAACACAGGACUCAAAAAUUCUGUACGGAUAGAGAAACUAUUUUUUAUAUGCCAUUUGAACAUGCUAACUUGCAAGGUAAGUCAUAAGGUUAUAUUUUUUUUUUCUUUUUGAAAUUUUUUUAAGCUUUUAGAAAAUCCUUUUUCCCCCUAAAAUGCAAUGUAAUUUUCUAAGAUUUUUUUUUCGCAUAAUACUAAAUUAAUAUGAAAUAUUUCUAUUGAUUGCAAGUGAAAGUGGAAUAUUAAAACAUGAUUUUAAUAUAAAUAAUAGGGUAUUUGAAAUUAUUUUAAACACAAUAAAUGACAUUUUAAGAUAAGUAUUUUAUAAAAAUAUACAAACGAUCUUAAUCCAUAUUAAAAAAAAAUUUAUAGUAUGGUUCAUAUAAUUUAUGAUUAAUUCUAAUACGAAACUAAGUUUUAUAUUUCAAGCAAUUGGUUAUGUCUUUUAUGCAUUUUACAAUAAAAUUUUAAAAAGUACAAAUAUUAAAUUUUAAAAUUAAAAAUUAAAGUGAGCACUAUAAAUUUGAUUAUCAACCAUUAUAUUUUAAAUUUGUAUUCGGAUAAUGCAAUUAUUAUUGAUGUGUUCGGUUAAUCCUGUUAUUAUUACUGUUUUGAAAUCUAAUAGAGGAUAAACUUUUUUUUAUAUAAAGUCAAACUUAUAAUAAAUAAUUUUAAAAAAUUAAGCUUUGAAUUGUUUUUCGUAGAUCACAAAUAAAAUUCAAAUUAAACAAUUACAAUUACAUAAAUUAUAAAAUAAUUUUAGUAAAAAAAGUUGAGUUAUGUAUACAUUAUAAUUAAAAAUGUAGGAGUAUAUAAAAAUUAUAUUAUGAUCAACAACACAAUAAAUUUAAAAUAUUAUUUACGUAAUGAUCUUAUACAGCAAAUAUAUUUUUUUAUUUCAUUUUAGAAGGCAAAUAUUAGAUCAAUAAUUUUUAAAUUUAAUAUUUUAAUUAUUUAUGAAAAGGAUAUUUGAUAUUUUUCUUGUUGAUGAACUUCUCGCAUUAAUAUCUUUUAGAUCGAUAAAAUAAAUUUUUUAUUAUAAUAAUAAAUAUAUUAAAUAAUACAUCAAUAAGGAAUUACCAGUUUUAUAAGUAGCAAAUCAUUAGAUAUCUUUAGAUCUAAUGUCUACGUUUAGGUAGUUUAAAUUUAAUGGAAGAUUAUUACUUUUAUAUUUAUACAGACUUGCUCAUUUCUGUAUGUAGUCUUAUUCUUGUUUGGUAUUUGUAAAAUUUCAAUAAAAGAGUGUCUCUUUGUAGUUAGUUUCUCUUGAAUAGAAAUAAAGUUUAUAUUAUCUUAUUUUUCUUAAUUAAUAAGAAUAAUCUCAAAUUGGAGUUCGUUUUUUCUCUCUCCAUAAGUGUUUUUCGCAAGUAUCAAACCCUAACUUUGCAGAGAUUGUGACUAAACUCUAGCAUGCAUGCCUUAACACUUGACCUACUUCUUAAAUAUGGAUAUUGCAUAUUUAUCUUAACAUGGAGAGAUAGAGGACUUACCUAACAUUCUCAUAUGUAUUUGCAAAAGGAGAUUCAAACAUAAAAACAAAAUAAAUAAAUAAUACAAAAGGUCAUAAAAUUAAGUCAAUAUUGAAGUAGGAAUUGCAGUAUUUGCAUGUAAGUAUCUUAAUGAAGUACGUCACUAAUUAAAAUUUGUAGGGAAGGAGGAUCCAUACAAAAGGUUUCUACCUCUGUGCCGAGUCAUAGAAAAAGGGGAUUUGAAUGGUGUUAAGGGAUUCCUUAAGUCUCAUCCAGAUGCAAUAAACAAAAAGAUAGCAUUGGGUGGCUUGACAGCUCUUCAUCUAGCGACUAUAAGCGACAAAGAAAAUAUUGUGAAAGAGCUCGUGAAUUCAAUGUCAGUCGAAGACUUACAAAUACUGGAUGAUAGAAAGACCACUGCUUUCUUUAUUGCUGUUAGUAAUGGAUGCAUGAGGACAGUGGAUUUGCUAUUCAAAAAGAACAAUAAUUUAGUUACUGUACCACUAGGCACAGAAUUACCUGUCAUCACUGCAUGCGGAAAAGGCUUUAGAGAGCUAACUCGGUUUUUAUAUUCCAAGACUCCAUUUGAAUUGCUACUUCCCGAGAAUGGUACUUUUGGAGCUCUGCUUCUCCACUCGUCUUUUUUCAACAAAAUGUUUGGUAAGAAUAUCUCUUCCUUUAUUUUAUUGGCUAAAGAAUAUCAUUUCAAAUAAUGAGUUUCAAAAUUUUGAUUAAUUAUUAAAUUCACUUUAAAUAUAGGCUAAGCGUCUGUUCGGCAAAAGUAGUUAUUUUGAUAGUUGUUAGAUGUUUUAACUUUUUAUAAAACCAUGUUUUAACCUCUAAAAACUAGUUCAAAAUGCUAUGUUACCGAACACUAUAAAAAACUACUUAAAACAUUAUUGCCAAACACAGUCUAAAUGUUAAGAAUCUGAGCCCUAAGAGUAUGCUCAUAAUGAAUUGGGUUUAUCUUUAACAUAAAAUGAUUUAAGUCAUUUUAAUUAGCUUACCUUCCUCUUUACAUGUAAUUUACUUAAUAUUUAAUCCCACAUACUUCGAUAGUAACAUUUUCUUACAGCAUGUUCCCGUUAAUGACAGACUAAGUGAUUUUUUAUACUGAAACUUGGUAAAAAGAAAAAAGAAAAGAAAUGUAUUGAAUUUUAAUCUAUAGUAAAAUAUUAAUUGAAAAAAAAUUAAUUUAUAAUAAAUUUAUUGAUAGAGGUAUUUUAGUCUUUUUACUAAUUUCUCAUUCUAUUCCUCCACUUGUUUUGUUUCUUUUGACAAAUGCAAGAGAUUUCACUGGAUUUGAUCCAGCGUUGCCCAAUGUUGGCCGUUACAAAAACACAUUUCAACACUAACCCUCUUAUUGAAUUAUCGUUCAUGUCUGAAUUAUUUCCUAGUAGCAGCCGUUUACCCUCUUGGAAACGGUGGAUAUACUCGGGUUAGUACAUUAAUUGAUGUUUGUACUAUUCAUUUUGCUAAUUAAUAGAAUGAAAUAUAUUUUGAAAAAGUUAUUUAACGAGUUUAUUAUCCUUGAAGGUAUUCAAGUGCAAGUACCUGUCUUUUCUAGAGACGUUAACAUAAUGAUUGAGCAAAGUGGCCAAUUGAAUGGGAGCAACGUUUUACUAAGCGGUAUGAUUUCUUGCCUUCGACUUCAAAAAAUCAAUAGAAAUAAAAAUAUUUUACAGGCUAUAGUUACUUUUUGAAAAUAAAUAGUCUUAUAAUUGAUAUGUUGAGAACCUAGAAAAUAAUUUUAAAAAAUUAAUUUUCAAAUUCGCAAGUGCACGAUCUGGUAAAUUUUAUUUCAAUAAAGAAAAUUAAAUCUAAUAUUAUAAAUUGAAAUUAAAUUUAAACUAUAUCAUAUUUCUCUUAAAAAGUUUUAGUUCGACAUAGGAAAUAAUUUAAACUUAAUUAAAUUUAAAACAAUCUUAUAAAGAAUAAUAAACAAGAAAAGAGUUUAGAAAUUAAAACUAAUCGACGAUAAGCUUGAGCAGCUUCCUUGAAUCUUAAAAAGAGAGCAACUAUAUAGAGAACAAUAAAAUAAGAGAUAGAAUGAUGGCUGAUCUCUCUCUUUUUAUAGACUCUCUAAAAUAUCUUCGAAUUCAUUUAAGAAAGUGAAUCUUUAUUUAAAAAUAAAUCUUUUAGAGAUAAAAAACUACUAAGGUUUUGUAUUUUUUCUCAAUAAGAACUCUUAAUGUCUAAAUAGGAUUCUAGCUUGAUAAGGCAUGUUCCAUGAUAAUAAAAAAAAUGAAAAAAAAAAUAAUGGUUAAAGAAAAAAAUAAAAGUAAUUUAAAAUAAUAAAAUUAUAUAUAUAUAUAUAUAGGCACACGACCUAGUGUGUCCACUUUCUGUUUUUUUUUAUGGUUGAAAACAAUAUAUAUAUAUAUAUAUAUAUAUAUAUAUAUAAAGAAAUGUUGAGGUGCUAUAAACGAGAUAAAAAAAAAAAAAAAAAGAACAAAAGGAUCAUGGGCUCCACUUGAGGCAUGGUCAGACUAUAUAAAUAUAGACAGCCUCAUAAUAUGCAAAUCGGCAGUGACAAGGCCGUGUCCUUGUGCGCGGUUCAGCUGCGCCUUGAAAAUCUUUUUUCAGUUUAAGUUGCACGGCAGUGCAACUGAGCACGGCCAGCCUGUGUAACAACACACUGGAAGUUUUACAUCCUUGAGCUGGAAAAAUUAGUAUAGAUGUGCUAAUUAGCACACCAAGCCGUACAACUCUGAUUUUAGCCCAUUCCACCUGCAAAAAUUUAGUUCAAGUUGGAUUUAUUAAAAGACUAACUAAAAAUUUAAAAUUUUCUAACUUAAUACUCAAAAAACAAAAGAGAAAAAAAUGAAAUUAAAACUAAAAAGAGAAAGAAAUAUGAGUUACCUCCCAUUAUCGUUUUUGUUUAAAGUCUUUAAACUCGACUUUUGAUAAGUUCAUUAAAUAACGGAUUUCACCCAUAAUAUAUAUCAUGUAACAUCAAACAUGGAUCUUGAUUGGAAACGCUCUCAAAAUUGGCUACUUUAGAAAAAAUUAUGCUCCUCUUGUCAACAGCAUCUAGCUUUAAAUGAUAAUUUGAGAAAGAACUGUAUUAGAUCAUGGAGAACACAAUUUAUUAAAUGUGAUAUCAUUCGAAAAAAAAAAAUCUUUCGGUGAUGUAUGUAUAAAAAUCAUUUAUGAGCUCAACUUAAUAUUCUCAGUUAUUUCCUCAUCCAUCAAUAUUGCUUUCUAUUUGUCUUCGUUUAAAAUAUCUUCAAAUGCCUCUUCUAGUUGUACCUCAUUUUCUUCAUUAUCAUUAACAGUCGUAUCUCAAAACAAAAAAGUGAGACUUAAUCUGUCUUCAAAGGAAUUGCAUUCUCCACACGUAGGAUUUAAUUCUUCUAAAGUUGCAAUUUUCCAUGAAGUUUUCUCAUAAUCUAACUUGCACUCGUCAUCUUGAUAUUUAUUAGCUACCAUGGGUUCCAAUUGCUCUAGUCGUACCUCCAAAUUCUUGAUCAUCUCUUGUUGAAUCUUAAAACUCUCAUGAGUUUCAUUUAUGAAUUCCAUGUAAGAUUUAGUGAGGCAGCAAUCAAAUCCUCUAAAUUCUUCUUUUUCUUUUCAUCCUCAAAAUUUGAGGGGUAUUGGUGAUCCCAACCCUACAAAAAAUAAUCACAAUGCCAACGGUAUUCAAAAUCCAUCAUAUCAUUUAACAUAUAAAGUAUAUCUUCAUAGCUACUUUCUAAAAGAUGAAUAACGGUUGCCGAAAAUUCAAUAUCUACCCAACUUCUUGUUUGUUCAUCUAAUGCAAAGUAGAAUAUAAAAUUGAGACACUUACAUGUGUAAUUAUGAUAAGAAAAUCUCUUCAACAAAUCAUUAAAUGUUGCCCAAGCGGCAUAAAAUGGUUCCGAAUAUUGUUGACUAAAACUUGCGACUACUUGUUGAUGAAACAUUUCAAAAUAAUUCACAAAAAAAUAACAAAAGUAAAAAUUAAUAAAAGAAAAGAAAAACUACAAAUAAUAUAAACAAAUAUUUCAAUUAAUAAACAAAAAAACUAAAAUAAAAAAUAUUUAAAUUAAUAAUAGGUUAAUUGGUAUUUAUAUUGCUAAUGUCAAUCCCCUGCAAAGCGCCAUAAACCUAACAAUUAAAAUUUUCAAGUACAUGAAAUCACAAACAAGUAAUAAAGAAUAAGUGGAGUAUCGUUCUCACAAGGAUUGCAUACCAAGUACUAAGAUUAUGUUAACCUACCAUUAUUCAAAUGACAAUAAGAAGAAUUAAUUUAAAAUAAAAGAAUUAAAAUAAAGUAAUGAGAAAGAAAUCAAGCAAGAAAUUGUUGAAAAGAAAUAAAGGUUUAAAUGUUACUAGGGAUUUUGACUUAACCUAAUUCUAUCUAAUUUAUCCUAUUAGCUUGAUAAUGAAUUCUAAUUAUUAAAAAAGAAGAAAUAACCCUAAAGUUGCUGAUAAGCUUUCUUGAUGUUUUAUUAGCUAUUUUAAUCUACUUCAAUUACCCAUCUCUCAAUGGCGCAACCAAACAUAGAUUAAAUCAUUAAGUUCUUGUGAUUAUUCAGGGAUCCACAAAUUGAGGUCUUUAAUUUUAUGAAAACCUCCGACGAGUUAAACCAUUUAGCUCUUGUCAUCAAGUUAUUAUUCCCAUAAAAUUUAUUACCCUAUUAUUCCCAAGAAAUUUAUUAUCCUAUUCAUAUCAAAAACCCUUUUCUCGACGGUGAUUAAGAUCAAUAAUAAAUUUUACUUGAAUAAAAAAAUCAAAUCUAAUAUUAUAAAUUAGAGUUGAAUUUAAACUACAUCAUUAUCCUGGUAAAAAGUUUUAGUUCGACAUAGUAAAUAAUUUAAACUUAGUUAAACUUGUAAAUAAUUUCAUAAAGAAUAAUAAACAAGAAGAGAGUUUAAAAAUAAAAACUAGUAGAUAAUAGGCUUGAGCGACUUCCUUGAAUCUUGGCAUUAACUUGAAUACUUGAAAUUUUAAAAAGAGAGCAACUAUGUAGAGAAUAAUAGAACAAGAGAUGGAAUAUACAAUGAAUAAUCCUCAACGAUGGCUAAUCUCUGUCUUUUUUAUAGACUCUUUGGAAUAUCUUUGAAUUCAUUUAGAAAAGUGAAUCCUUAUCGAGAAAAGAAUCUUUUAGAGAUAUGAAACUAUUUGAGUUUUGUAUUUAUUCCCAAUUAGAACUCUCCCAGUAUCUAAAUAGGAUUCUAGCUUGAUAAGGCACGUUCCAUAAUAGCUUGAUAAGGCAUGUUCCAUAAGAUUCUCAUGCAGAUCCAUUUAAGCAGCAAGGGCUUAAUAUGAAAUCUUGGCCCAAGUUGAAUUCUAAAGAGUAGCACGGGGGUACUGUGUAGCACGACCUAGGCAUGCUUCUUGCUGAAUGUCGGCGGCCCAAUUAGAUUUUAGUCACUUUUGGGUGCUUUUCUAGAGAAAUCCUGUAAAAUUCCUACAAAUAAAGUGAAAUAUUGAUUCAAUGAAACUAUAAUUCUAUAAAUAAAAAUAUAAAUAAAACUAAUUAAAGUAAUUAAAAACACUAAAAAUCCUAAUAAAAUCAUAUUAAAAUACUAUAAAAACAACAUCUACCAAAAAUCUCCUAGAAAAAGAAAUUAGUUUAAAUUAUUGCAUAGAAAAAGAAUAUUUACUUGGCCUUAUAACUAAAAACUUUUGCAUUUUUAAAACUAUAAAAAUAAUUUAUUGUACCUUAAAAUAUGAGAAAGUAGUUUCAACUUUAACCAAUAAGUCAAACAUUAAAAAAAAAAACCAUAUUUUGACACUAAUUUAAUUACAAAAUACUUAUUAACGUAAAUUUUUUUUUCCUUUUUCCGUCGUUUUCUCUAUCCUUCAUGUUCUCUUUUUUUUUUUUUUUUAAGUCAGUAGAAGGUCUAAUAGACCGUGGUUCUUUUUAAAAAAACAAAAAAAAUCAGUGGAAGGACUAAUAGACCGUGGUUGAAAGAUUUUAAAUCUGAAACCUCUCACUUCUCGUAUUCUUUCUUCUGUGUAUAAAUGGAUCAUUUUUAUAAUUUUCUUGUAUAUAAUUUUUUAUAUUAAAAGAUAAAUUUUGAGUUAAAUUUUGGAUUGGGUAAGGUAAAUGAAAUGAACUACAAAAUUAAUUGGCUUGUGCUAAGUGAUCAAAAGAAAAAUAUUCAGUUGCGAAAGGCUAUUAAUAUAAAUAUGCAUUGUCAUUUAUUUUUAAUUUUAUACCAGAACUAUUUGCGCUUCAAAGAAAUUUAUGAUUUGUUGUUAACUAACAUGUCCACUUAUAAUUGAAAUAUUUUCUCUUCAGAACAAUUGAAAUAUGAAAUUUUGAAUAUUGCAGUUUUUGCAGGGCUCCGAAGCCUGGGCUCAAUUGUCCAAGAAAUAUUUGGUAACAUCCUAACUUCCAAUCUCAUUUAUUUCAUUUCUUGAACUUAUUAAAGUUGAUUGAAUUUGCCAUUCUUACUUAUCUGUGUCUUGCUUUUUAUUGAAGGAUUUAAGCAAAUUUAUGAUAUGAAGUUGACACACAGCUCAGUUAUCCAAAUUAUAAAUUAUAUAUUUGAAGGCACUUCGAUUACAAAUUUUCCAGAUAUCGUAGAAAAAGGAUUAGACAGAGCGUUAUUCUCUGCAAUUGAACAUGGGACAAUCGAAAUUGUUAUUGAAAUAUUAAAAGUCAAUCCUUCGAUUUUCAUACUGGAAAAUACCAGAUUUAGAAGCAUAAUCGAAUAUGCUAUCCAACAUCGGCAAGAAAAAGUUUUCAGCCUUAUAUAUGCAGUCGGAGGAUGGAAGAAUUUCUUGAUUUAUGGAUUCGAUACAAAUAAUAAUAACACGUUACAUGUAGCAGGAAUGUUGGCAUCUCCAAAUAGACUUGCUCAUAUUUCAAGUCCAGCUCUGCAAAUGCAAAGAGAACUGCAAUGGUAUAAGGUAAUAAGAGGAGAAGAAUGAAUAGCAAUCAAAAAAAAAAAAAAAAAAUCAUUCAGACUUACACUAAAAUCAAUAUUAUUGUAUUUGUUUUCAAUGCAGGAAGUAGAAAGUAUUGUUAAACCUACAUUGAAACUGUAUGUCAACAAAGAUGAUGAAAAUCCUUGGCAAUUGUUUACAAAAAGCCAUAAGAAAUUGAAGGAAGACGGGGAGAAAUGGAUGAAAGGGAUUGCAAAAUCUUCCACAGUCGUAGGUGCUCUUAUCAUUACAAUUAUGUUUACUACAGUAUUUACUGUUCCUGGUGGAAAUAUUCAAGAAACUGGAUUUCCAAUAUUUUUACGUGAGAAAGCAUUCAAGGUUUUUAUUGUAGCUGAUGCAAUUUCUCUAUUUGCCUCCUCAACUUCAGUAUUAAUGUUUUUAGGAGUCUUGACUUCGCGUUAUGGAGAAGAAGAUUUUCUUGAAUCAUUGCCAAGAAAGAUGAUCAUCGGUCUUUCUACCCUUUUCUUUUCCAUUGCAGCCAUGAUGAUAUCAUUUUGUGCUACUCUUAUAAUAAUGCUAGAUGGAGAUUUGAAACUAAUCAUUCCUAUAAUUUUGUUGGCCAGCAUUCCCGUUACUGUUUUUAUAUUUUUACAGUUUCCUCUACUUGUUGAGAUUUUUAUGUCCACUUAUGGACCGGGCAUCUUUGAUAAAAAUAUGAAAUAUUGGUACUAAGCAGAAUAAUUGCAGUUAGAAAUUAUAUAGGUACAUGUCGUUUGUUUGGCUUUGUAAGAGCAUUAAGUAUCGUCUUCUUUGUAUUGUGGUGCAUAUAAGCAGAUGUUUUCCUUGUAUUUUUCAAAAUUACUGAAUCUAUGAAUGCUUUUUUUUUUUUUUUGUUUUUUUCUUUUUUUGAGAAUAAGAGAGCAAACAAACUAGAGGCAGAUUCUAUUAUAAGCAAUAAUUUGUUCUUUACAAUUAUAUGUUUUUAAUUAGAAUUUCUUGUUUAAAAAUCAGAAAUUAUUAUUAUAUACCACAUUUCUUUACUUUAUUUAUUUCUUCAUGUUAUUAACUUAUUAUCUUCUUUUAUUAUUUCUUUUCUCCAUAUUUUUUUAUUUUAGCUUGAAAAUUGAAAGGAAAGUAUAAGGAAUAAAAAGUUUUUUUUUCUGAAGAGAUAAUAAAAGGUUUUAAAAAAAUGAAAAAAGAGAAAUAACUUCAAUGAAUGUUUAUACUUAAUAUCUCUUGAGUAAAUUUUUCAAUUUUAAUUUUCCAGCCAAAUGUUUUUAAUUAAUAAAAAGUAUAUUUUAAACACUUCAAUAGAAAAAAACUGAAAAAAUUCAAAAUCUAAUUACUAUAUAAUUCUCCUUUAAAAAAAAAAAAAAGAAAGAUAAUGUUAUUCUUGGUGCAUGAAUUUGUUUUUUCUUCUAUUUUAGUGUCUAAUAAUGGAAAAUAGUGAUAAUUAAGUGUCUAAACUUGCAUUUUUUUUUUUUCAAUUUGGUAUCUCCUGAUGAGUGGACAGUCAGGUUGUUUAAUAGGAGAAAAUUGAAUCUACAUAUAUCUACAUGUCCGCUUACGUGGCCUGACAUUUAAUCCAUAUAAGCUGUCUAAUGUGGCCAAUAUGGUCAAAUUACAGGUUUAACCUGAUGUAUCUUCAACUUAAACACUUGGACUGUGAAAUCUCUAACUCAUUUACUAUCUAAACCCAUUUUUCCGCCAAAGAAUGAUAGAGAUAAUGAGGAAAUUCUUUAUCAACAUUUACAGCUUUGUAAAUGAGUUGGGAAUUUCUUGGAGGCCUUCCGGGCUUACCUUUUCUUCAACCUUGAUAUUUGUAUCCAAUCACUCAUCUCCAUUAUCCCAUCUUGAUAGCUAUUCUAUUUUUGAUCUUCACACACAUGCACUCGUUUCUUACCUUGUGUUGCCAGUAUUCAUCUUAGCAUUUUAUACAGUUAUGCACUCAAUACCCUGUGCUCACACCAGCAUGUAGCAUUUUAGCCAUUUUACCCAUAACUAUAUAAAAAUAAAUAAGGACUUCUCUAUAUCGACCAAUUUAUUUUGAUUUCAGGAUAAUCUUCUCAAUGCCCCCCUCCACUCAUGUGAUGUCAAAAGAAAUGCAACGAAGCACCUCUGUUUCAUUCAAUCUAAUUGUAGAACGGCCAUGGACCGGUUUGACCUCUAGUCCAAUUUUAGAAAGCAAGGACCACCUAACAAUCUAAUCUUAUUGUGAUAGGAAAGCAUGUCUGGCAAAUAAACCUGAAUUUGCAAAAUGCUUUUCCCAUUGACAGGUAGGUUUGACUAGCUUUUAGCAAUAUCAUUCUCGCUUUUCCAAAGUAUAUCAAAAGGCAUUUCUACCUCCCCUUCCGUGAAAAAAAAAAAAAUAUUGAAAAGCAGAUGGAAUAGAAAUGCUAAAUGAAGCCUUAGAGUCCCUCUCUCUUCUUCCUACAUUUUUUAUUUGCUCAGAGGACUACUAGGAAAUGAAUGCACUUGCUAAUAUGAUCCUAAUCUCCCUUGAGUUUAUAGUAGCAUAUGAAUGCACAAGAAAAAGGACGCAAGGAGUAGGAAGACAUUGCAGAGAGAAAAAGCAACUAAUACCUUACCGUCCUUUUUGUUACAAAUUAUAUUCCAAAAAACUCCCAGUUGAAGGCCACAAGGCUCAUCUUAUGAAAAUUUUUCUUCCCACUCAAAAGACAACAAAAUGAUACCAUUUGUUAAGCUCGAACUAUCAACAUUAAUUCCCUUCAAAGUCACAGCCAAACUUCCUCCAAUUCAUCAAUUAACCCAAAGAUUCUAUUCCUAAAACGGAAACAGACGUACAAAGUCGUAUAAUGUAAGUCAUCGAUUGAAUUCAAAUAGAAUUCAAGAAAUAAAUACAUUAGAAGCCAAAUUAAUCAUAAUACAGACCCAUCAAGCAAAUACCACGUAGAAUUUUCUCAACCCAAAUCCAGAAAAUCAACAUAUACAAACUCAACGGAUAAAAAUAAAACCCACAUCAAUGAGCAACGAUUCCAACACAAAUUCAUAAACAAACAAAUAAAAAUGCAACGAAAAAUUAGAAGGGAAGCAAAGAAAUCAACUUACCUCCACAGCGGAAACAACAGUAGCAGCAAGUGAGAACCAUGAGAACUUCUCUGCAAACCAAAGCAGAUUUAACUAAACAAGAAAUCUUUGAAAGGGAUGUAUCUUCUGAAACUCUUCCAUCAACGACACCGUUUACUUUUUCAACAGUAUCAUCGUCUAAGAGUUUCUCUUGGUUGCUACUGCUUUGUUGAGACCGCUUCUUCUCUCUGUUCAUCCUCUGGAGGUUCCAUUCCAGUUUUUUCAGAUAUCCGAUCUUGAAAGAGUCUCUUAUUCUCAUUGAGGGCCAUAGAUGCAUAUCUCUCUUGGAUUGCGAAGUGUUUUCUUUCAGAAUUUUUAUGUAGUUGCUUUAGCUGGAGUGUUUAAUUUGUCUGUCAACUAUAUUUCUCGCAAGAAAG